AGCUGGUCCAACAGCAGAGGGUCAUCAGAACUCAUUAGCGUUACUAAAGUUGGUAUACAAUACCUCACUGCUAAAUUUAACUGGUUUUAU
rnacentral:Y_RNA from 1 species